CCUGUUAUUUAUCUAAGAUGUCGUUCCGAAGAGUUUUGUGACUGCCGAUGGAAUACAAAGUCAAUAAUUCGUUUUUCUGAUUUACCAAUCAUUGUCCAAAAGUCAGAUUGCCGCCUUUGAUAAUAGUCGACUCAUUUAAAACAAACAAAAAAAAAAACUUCAGAGGUGUCAAGGGACACCCGGAUGGAACGAAGUUCCUUUCGAUUAAUUAGUGAAGGAAUUGUAAUUUUUUUUUAAAGUUCUACUAAUAAAUUACGGCAUUAUGAAAAAGGAAAAAACAAUACUAUGAACUAAAUUACUAUUGUUGAAACGCUAUCUCGAGAAACUGUACUCAUUACGCGGACCAAUCGGAUACGAGCAAUGUCACGCGAUAAGCGCCUACACGUUGAUUGGUCAGAAUGACGGAUCUAAAAAGUGUCGUGACAACUUUUCGUAAGAAUUUUUCCGUCUAGCCCCCUUUCACAACGCGCGAUAAGGAACUUCGUUCCAAAAACAAUUAAGGAAUUUCUUAUACGAAUAUUAUCAUGAUACUUAACUCAGACUUAACAUAGGUAACUUGAAUUAUUUUAAAAAUUUAAUCUCAGAAAUACGUAACGGAAGUGCUUAAAUGAAAUAAGUUAUAUAGUUGAGAUUAUUUUGCUUAUUUAUUAAAAUACACUACACAAGGUUGUAUUUUGAUUUGUAGUUUCGUGCCGAUUAAUUUAUAUUACUAGUUUCUAUUAUUAAAUCAUUCAACAAACUAUAGUAAAAUUCAUUAAAAUGCUACAUCAAAUAAUUUAGUUUUUUUUAAAAUAUUUAAUGUUGUAACUGUAUCUGUGAAAUGUAUUAAAAAAUUGCUAUUUUUAUUUCGCACCUAAUCGUAGUAAAUUCAAUUCUACUUGUUUAAAACUCAACUGAGAUGAGUUCCUAAAUGAUUAUUAAGUAUGAAAAAAAGAGACAGAUACAAUAAAUCUACAAACUUGCAUUUUACAUACAGGAAAAUCGAUUUAAACAUAUCGAUUAAACGCGCUUGUCUCGAUUUAUUAUAUUCUUAAGUUAUUAAUUCAUUUUAAUAAUUAAGUUACUACAUAGUAAUUUGACGAGUUCUAGGGCUAUAUGAGUUGAACUAUGUAUUUGUAUGUACGCAUAUGUGGGUUUAAUGUUCUGAGAUAAUAUCGAUAUUACAAAAUGGAUGUGUUUUGUGUCGAAUCAAAAUGUCUUCCUUUUCUGAUGAUAGUAAAAACCUUAGAUUCAUAUUUAAAUAAAUUAAUAAACACGUUCCUUAUAUUCACUACGAAUUUUUUUGUUAUGAAAAAUGAUAUUAACAAUAGCAAAAUAUGUAUUCAGAUUUUAAUUUGCGUUUUGUUAAGAAACUUCAUAUCUCACAUUAACGAAGUCUUAUCAUGGUCACAAUACAAUACGUAUGUACUGGCAACACUUAACUUUUGCAAGUAUUUGAAGUAUGAAGGGUAGAGGUUAUGAGAACCGUCUCAUAUGGGAGGAAGCUUGAAAAAGUGUCCCACUUUCAGUACUUAAUAACAGUUCAAAAGUCCUCCAGAAUGGCGCUAGCACAGGCACCGGGUAUUACGAGUAUAUGAAUUGAGCAGUUGUUAACUGAUUGAAGUAUGCUGAGUUAGGAAAUUUAAUAUACUAGACUAUAAUUAAUUGGAACUCUAAGUUUGUACACUAUUAUGAUUGUAUUUUAUACUUCUAUAAUCACAAAUUUCGCCAAGACUACACUAUAAAAAAUAUUAACAAAGAGAAACAAUAUUUAAUCUAUUCUCAAUUUGAUCACAGACGUCAAGAACAAAAGUUUGACAAUAAAUAGUAUGCAUGCGUGUGUUCGUCAAAUACAUGGUAUGUAGUGUGUGUAAUGUUUUCUUUAUUGAUUUAAUGUAUCUUUUAUGCAUUAUUAAAAAAAAGACAUUGUGCACUUCUUCUCUAUAUUCUCUAUAAGCGUGGAAAAUUUCAUACUCCUCCGUCCGCGCAAUUUUCGUAAAAAGGGAUACAAAGUUUUUGCUUCACGUAUUAAAUAGAUUAAAUGACUAGAGUAGUUAGUGACAGUGUAAUAUACAAGACCUCACAUGUUUUCGUAGUCCAAACUAAUUUCGUCAAUAUAACCUAAAAUUAUUGCUGUGGUAAAACGUGGAGACAUCGAUUGCAUUUUCUUAUCAGCUUUAAAUAAAAUACUUUUUGUGAUAGUCCUUUUUCAUUUCUCUAUCUUAUUCUAAUAACUUACAGCGCCUUUUUUUUUAAUUUACCCGGUUGCUACUGUAGCGCCACCCUUAUUUAGCAGAUUUUAACGGACACUUUUUCACACACAGAGACGGUUCUCCUUACAUCUACCCUCCAUAAUAUGAAGGAACGCGUUUUUUUUUUAUAAAUUCAAUAUCAAAGACUACCUAAUUUCAAGUCUUAAACGUCAUGCAAUGUGGCGACCAUUAUUUUAGGCAUAUCUUAUCAGGAGUGGACAUUUUUUAGCGUAUUUAUAUCCUCAGAACGGUUAAUGUUUAUAUUGCGAAGCGACUGUAAUCCGUUGUGGUCGGUGUUACUUGAACAUUUGUAUCGAUUAUUGGUGGUUCGGAGGUGUUUCCAGUUUCAUCAGGACAGGUGGGCGAGCAAAGGGCUCAACCAGGAGGGAUUUGCUAACAGUUACCCGAGCGCCUCCAAAGGAGACCCUAACAACUCAAGAGCAGUGCUUAGCGAAUCUAAUGCCGGAUCGAAAACGCGAUCCACUGAGAAGAUCCGGCGAGAAACGCAACAGCUUAAAAGACCAACGUUUCUCAAACUAAAUUUAAAGGAUUGAUAAAAAAAAAAAAACAUCAAAAUAACACUCAUUAAAAAAAUCGAUAAUGCUUUAUUCAGAUACGCUUACAAUAUGACAUUUGUAUUAUGAAAUUUACGGCGUGACGCGUUUCGGGUCUCUCGGGAACAUUGAGGUCUUUCUGAUGUUGUCCAGACCCAGAUACAGCAUCACGACGCGCUCCAGACCUAUCCCGCCACCUGACGUCACAGAGGAGAGAGAGAUCACACAGAGAGCCUUAUGGAUUCCUAAUUAUAAUACUAUCACAUAGUAUCAAUCUGUUGUGUUGAUGAGGUUCAUUAAUACGCUUUUAUUAGCUUCAGACGUAUGUAUGUAUGUUUGUAACGGAAUCUUUGAACAUGAUUUUGACCCCCUUCAAAACGUCGGAUUAACUCGAAAUUUGGUAUACUUAUUAAGGACCGAUGACAAUGAAAUAUUUAAAAAAAUCUAUGAAAAAAUUGAAAUACAACUAAAUAAAAAAUGAAAAAUAAAGAAUACUUUAAAAAAAAAA